CGGAUGAAGUUUGCCCACAGCCAAAGUUGGAGACGGAGUCUGGACGAAGCUUGUCUGAGUUGAAGUUGGAGACGGAGUCCGGCUCCCGUCUGGACGAAGUUUGUCCAUAGCUGAAGUUGGAGAUGGAGUCUGGCUCCCGUAGGAGUUCGGACGAAGUUUGCCCGCAGUCGAAGUUGGAGACAGAGUCCGGCUCCCGUAGGAGUCCGGACGAAGUUCGCCUGCAGCCGAAGUUGGAGACGGAGUUCNNN
rnacentral:lncRNA from 1 species